CGCUUCUUUUUCCACCCGGAGCUUGCUCCACCGAAAAAAGAAGAGUGGCGAACGGGUGAGUAACACGUGGGUAACCUGCCCAUCAGAAGGGGAUAACACUUGGAAACAGGUGCUAAUACCGUAUAACAAUCAAAACCGCAUGGUUUUGAUUUGAAAGGCGCUUUCGGGUGUCGCUGAUGGAUGGACCCGCGGUGCAUUAGCUAGUUGGUGAGGUAACGGCUCACCAAGGCCACGAUGCAUAGCCGACCUGAGAGGGUGAUCGGCCACAUUGGGACUGAGACACGGCCCAAACUCCUACGGGAGGCAGCAGUAGGGAAUCUUCGGCAAUGGACGAAAGUCUGACCGAGCAACGCCGCGUGAGUGAAGAAGGUUUUCGGAUCGUAAAACUCUGUUGUUAGAGAAGAACAAGGAUGAGAGUAAAAUGUUCAUCCCUUGACGGUAUCUAACCAGAAAGCCACGGCUAACUACGUGCCAGCAGCCGCGGUAAUACGUAGGUGGCAAGCGUUGUCCGGAUUUAUUGGGCGUAAAGCGAGCGCAGGCGGUUUCUUAAGUCUGAUGUGAAAGCCCCCGGCUCAACCGGGGAGGGUCAUUGGAAACUGGGAGACUUGAGUGCAGAAGAGGAGAGUGGAAUUCCAUGUGUAGCGGUGAAAUGCGUAGAUA
rnacentral:rRNA from 1 species